rfam:Homo sapiens chromosome Y, GRCh38 reference primary assembly.
GGUAAAAUGACUAAGUAGGGCAUUAGACUGUACAUCUAAAAACAGAGGUCAAGGCCUGUUUUUACCA